rfam:Erinaceus europaeus cont1.693922, whole genome shotgun sequence.
GUCAUGUUCCAACACAUUCAAUCAAAGAAGUUAGGUUGUUCUUCUGAAUUGGUUCUCUCCUAAAGGUCAAAAC